rnacentral:rRNA from 1 species
CUCGUAGUUGGAUUUCUGGCAGGAGGGACCGGUCACGCACUCUGUGUGUGAACUUGGCUCCCUCUGGCCAUCCUUGGGGAGAUCCUGUUUGGCAUUAAGUUGUCGGGCAGGGGAUACCCAUCGUUUACUGUGAAAAAAUUAGAGUGUUUAAAGCAGGCUUAUGCCGUUGAAUAUAUUAGCAUGGAAUAAUAAGAUAGGACUUCGGAACUAUUUUGUUGGUUUGCGUUACGAAGUAAUGAUUAAUAGGGACAGUUGGGGGUAUUCGUAUUUCGUUGUCAGAGGUGAAAUUCUUGGAUUUCCGAAAGACGAACUACUGCGAAAGCAUUUACCAA